rnacentral:rRNA from 1 species
GGAAUAUUGGUCAAUGGCCGAGAGGCUGAACCAGCCAAGUAGCGUGCAGGACGACGGCCCUAUGGGUUGUAAACUGCUUUUAUGCGGGGAUAAAGUGCGGCACGUGUGCCGUUUUGUAGGUACCGCAUGAAUAAGGAUCGGCUAACUCCGUGCCAGCAGCCGCGGUAAUACGGAGGAUCCGAGCGUUAUCCGGAUUUAUUGGGUUUAAAGGGGGCGUAGGCGGAGGAUCAAGUCAGUUGUGAAAUGUAGGCGCUCAACGCCUGCACUGCAGUUGAAGCUGGUCCCCUUGAGUGCGUAAGAGGCAGGCGGAAUUCGUCGUGUAGCGGUGAAAUGCUUAGAUAUGACGAAGAACUCCGAUCGCGAAGGCAGCUUGCCGGGCCGCAACUGACGCUGAAGCUCGAAGGUGCGGGUAUCGAACA